ACACCACUCGGGCCGUGCUCUCUGGCUGCUGCCGCAACCUCCACCCUUGCCUCCGGUGGACAUUAAAGAUCCAAAACCAUGACUGACUCCAAGUACUUCACAACCAAUAAAAAAGGAGAAAUCUUUGAAUUAAAGGCUGAACUCAACAAUGAAAAGAAAGAAAAGACGAAGGAGGCUGUGAAGAAAGUGAUUGCUGCCAUGACUGUGGGGAAGGACGUUAGUUCUCUCUUUCCAGAUGUAGUGAACUGUAUGCAAACUGACAACCUGGAAUUAAAGAAGCUUGUUUAUCUCUAUUUGAUGAACUACGCCAAGAGUCAGCCAGACAUGGCCAUCAUGGCUGUCAACAGCUUUGUGAAGGACUGUGAAGAUCCCAAUCCUCUAAUUCGGGCCUUAGCAGUCAGGACCAUGGGGUGCAUCCGGGUGGACAAGAUUACAGAAUAUCUCUGUGAGCCUCUCCGCAGGUGCUUGAAGGAUGAAGAUCCCUAUGUUCGGAAAACAGCAGCAGUCUGUGUGGCAAAACUCCAUGAUAUCAAUGCCCAAAGAUCAGGGAUUUCUGGAUUCUCUGCAGGAUCUCAUAGCAGAUUCAAAUCCAAUGGCGGUGGCUAAUGCUGUAGCAGCAUUAUCUGAAAUCAGUGAAUCUCACCCAAACAGCAACCUACUUGAUCUGAACCCACAGAACAUUAAUAAGCUGCUGACAGCCCUGAAUGAGUGCACUGAAUGGGGCCAGAUUUUCAUCUUGGACUGCCCGUCUAAUUACAACCCUAAAGAUGACCGGGAGGCUCAGAGCAUCUGUGAGCGUGUGACUCCCCGGCUUUCUCAUGCCAACUCAGCAGUGGUGCUUUCAGCGGUAGAAGUCCUAAUGAAGUUUCUGGAGUUGUUACCCAAGGACUCCGACUACUACAACAUGCUGCUGAAGAAGUUGGCCCCUCCACUUGUCACUUUGCUGUCUGGGGAGCCAGAGGUGCGGUACGUCGCCCUGAGGAAUAUCAAUCUAAUUGUCCAGAAAAGGCCUGAAACCUUGAAGCAGGACAUCAAAGUCUUCUUUGUGAAGUACAAUGAUCCCAUCUAUGUUAAACUAGAGAAACUGGACAUCAUUAUUCAUUUAGCAUCCCAAGCUAACAUUGCUCAGGUUCUGGCGGAAUGAAAGGAAUAUGCCACAGAGGUGGAUGUUGACUUUGUUCGCAAGGCUGUGCGGGCCAUCGGACGGUGUGCCAUCAAAGUGGAGCAAUCUGCUGAGCGCUGUGUAAGCACAUUGCUUGAUCUCAUCCAGACCAAAGUAAAUUAUGUGGUCCAAGAGGCAAUUGUCGUCAUCAGGGACAUCUUCCGCAAACACCCCAACAAGUCCAAAAGUAUCAUUGCCACUCUGUGUGAGAACUUAGACUCACUGGAUGAACCAGAUGCUCGAGCAGCUAUGAUUUGGAUUGUGGGAGAAUAUGCUGAGAGAACUGACAAUGCAGAUGAGUUACUAGAGAGCUUCCUGGAGGGUUUUCAUGAUGAAAGCACCCAGGUGCAGCUCACUCUGCUUACUGCCAUCGUGAAGCUGUUUCUUAAGAAACCAUCAGAAACACAGGAGCUGGUACAGCAAGUCUUGAGUUUGGCAACACAGGAUUCUGAUAAUCCUGACCUUCGAGACCGAGGCUAUAUUUAUUGGCGCCUUCUCUCAACGGACCCUGUCACAGCCAAAGAAGUAGUCUUGUCUGAGAAGCCAGUCAAUGUGCCACAGGUGUCCUCCAUGCAGAUGGGAGCAGUGGAUCUCUUGGGAGGAGGACUAGAUAGUCUGCUUGGCAGUGACCUUGGCGGGGGCAUUGGAGGAAGUCCGGCAGUGGGACAGUCCUUCAUCCCCUCAUCAGUAUCUGCAACCUUUGCUCCUUCACCUACUCCUGCUGUGGUCAGCAGUGGUCUGAAUGACCUGUUUGAACUCUCCACGGGAAUAAGCAUGGCACCUGGUGGAUAUGUGGCUCCUAAGGCUCUCUGGCUGCCUGCAGUAAAAGCUAAAGGCUUGGAGAUUUCCGGAACAUUUACUCACCGCCAGGGGCACAUCUAUAUGGAAAUGAACUUCACCAACAAAGCUCUGCAGCACAUGACAGACUUUGCAAUCCAGUUUAACAAGAAUAGCUUUGGUGUCAGCCCCAGCACUCCUCUGGCCAUCCAUACACCGCUCAUGCCAAACCAGAGCAUUCAUGUCUCCCUGCCUCUCAACACCUUGGGCCCAGUCAUGAAGAUGGAACCUCUGAAUAACCUGCAGGUGGCUGUGAAAAACAAUACUGAUGUCUUUUACUUCAGCUGCCUCAUCCCACUCAAUGUGCUUUUUGUAGAAGAUGGCAAAAUGGAGCGCCAGGUCUUCCUUGCCACAUGGAAGGAUAUUCCCAAUGAAAAUGAACUUCAGUUUCAGAUUAAGGAAUGUCAUUUAAAUGCUGACACUGUUUCCAGCAAAUUGCAAAACAACAGUGUUUAUACUAUUGCCAAGAGGAAUGUGGAAGGGCAGGACAUGCUGUACCAAUCCCUGAAGCUCACUAAUGGUAUUUGGAUUUUGGCUGAGCUAUGUAUCCAGCCAGGAAACCCAAAUUAUACGCUGUCGCUGAAAUGUAGAGCUCCCGAAGUCUCUCAGUACAUCUAUCAGGUCUACGACAGCAUUUUGAAAAACUAAUAGACUGGUCCGGGGCCCUCCGGCCACCCUGUGAUUGGUGCAAGCCAAGAACUCUUAACUGGAAGAAAUCGUAUUGCCGUGUAGAAUCUGAACCCAAACACACUGAGGCCGCCCACCAAGGUAGUGACUAGUCUAACCUGUGCUAACAUUAGGGCACAACCUGUUGGAUAAUUUUAGCUUCCUGUGAAAAUUUGUAACCACUGCUUCGAUCACACCCCACCUCUUGCCACCUGCCUCUGCGAUCUGUCCUUACUUGUGAGCUUCUCCAUAGUGUAGUUUGAUAUUUUGUAAUUGAGAGCUCAUUUCAAAAGCAGAAAAAGACAAAAAAUAUUAAAGCAAGGAAAAGUGUCACUGAAACAUAAAAAAA